UACGUAGGGUGCGAGCGUUGUCCGGAAUUAUUGGGCGUAAAGGGCUCGUAGGCGGUCUGUCACGUCGUGAGUGAAAACACGGGGCUUAACCCCGUGCCUGCUUCCGAUACGGGCAGACUAGAGGUAUGCAGGGGAGAACGGAAUUCCUGGUGUAGCGGUGAAAUGCGCAGAUAUCAGGAGGAACACCGGUGGCGAAGGCGGUUCUCUGGGCAUUACCUGACGCUGAGGAGCGAAAGUGUGGGGAGCGAACAGG
rnacentral:rRNA from 1 species